rnacentral:rRNA from 1 species
GACGAACGCUGGCGGCGUGGAUUAGGCAUGCAAGUCGAACGGUAGGAUACCUUCGGGUAUCUGAGAGUGGCGAACGGGUGAGUAACACGUAGGUGAUCUACCCUCAAGAUUGGGACAACCCAGGGAAACUUGGGCUAAUACCGGAUGAAAGCAGCAGUGAUGUUGUUUGAAAGGUGGCGUAAGCUGCCGGUUUGGGGAUGAGCCUGCGCUCUAUUAGUUAGUUGGCGGGGUAAAGGCCCACCAAGGCGAUGAUAGAUAGGCGGCCUUAACGGGUGGUCGCCCACACUGGGAUUGAGAUACGGCCCAGACUCCUACGGGAGGCAGCAGUCGAGAAUAGUCUACAAUGGCCGAAAGGCUGAUAGUGCGACGCCGCGUGAACGAAGAAGCCCUUCGGGGUGUAAAGUUCUUUUAUAUGUGAGCAGUGCUUUCUAUGUGAACAGCAUGGGGAGAGAGAUAUUAGCAUAUGAAUAAGCAACGGCUAACUCCGUGCCAGCACG